CUUUGGUUUUCUUCCAAUAUAUGGUUAAACCAUUUUCCUUAACCAACUCAUCGAUUUUACAAAACAAUUUUCCAUGUUUAACAGGUUUGUUAUCGCUUUUCAGCAUUUGGUUACGUUUCCAGCUAGGCAGAUAUUCGACGAAACUGUUGCGAACAUAGUUGGAAUCAGUUAUAAUAACAAAUUCUUUGAUACCAUAUUCUAUUGCCAUUUGAAUGGUCUUAUAUACUGCACAGAGUUCGGCUAUCUGACUGCUUUUGGGACCAAUAUUGCAUCCUAUAGAUACAUUAGGAUAAUCACCUGUCCAGGCGAUUCCGAUACCUGCAACUAACUUCCGUU
rnacentral:lncRNA from 1 species